CCUACGGGGGGCAGCAGUGGGGAAUAUUGCACAAUGGGGGGAACCCUGAUGCAGCAACGCCGCGUGGGUGAAGAAGUACUCCGGUAUGUAAAGCCCUGUCAGCAGGGAAGAAAAUGACGGUACCUGACCAAGAAGCCCCGGCUAACUACGUGCCAGCAGCCGCGGUAAUACGUAGGGGGCAAGCGUUAUCCGGAUUUACUGGGUGUAAAGGGAGCGUAGACGGCAAGGCAAGUCUGGAGUGAAAGCCCGUGGCCCAACCACGGGACUGCUUUGGAAACUGUGUUGCUGGAGUGCAGGAGGGGUAAGCGGAAUUCCUAGUGUAGCGGUGAAAUGCUUAGAUAUCAGGAGGAACAUCGGUGGCGUAAGCGCUUUACUGGGCCGUAAUUGACGCUGAGGAACGAAAGCCAGGGUAGCAAAUGGGAUUAGAUACCCCUGUAGUC
rnacentral:rRNA from 1 species